GGAGCAACAUCUGUUCCUCCUACGAUUGGAUCUUCAAAAAGAAUUGUUAGGAGAGCUAUUUCAUUGCUGCCGCCCACUACUCUUCCAGCUCUGCCGACAACCAUACCUACAAGAGCUGCAGCUGAAGCAACACAUAGGGCAGAGGAGGCAUCACAGGACACCAAGGCCCCAAGCCUCAGGUUCUGUAAAUGA
rnacentral:lncRNA from 1 species